AUAAAAAUAAAAAAAAUCUAUAAAUUUACAUAUUUACCAUAUAAUCCAUUUUUUUUUUAUAUUUAUCUCCGUCAUAUUUAAGACGUGGAUGAGACUGAAACUGAAAAAAUUAUAAAUCCAUCACCACUUUAAUCAUAUUGUGCCAAACCAAUUAAGAAAAUCUUUUCUAACUUAAUUAAGUGUUGCUAUAUUGAGAUCUGUUACUGGACACACACGUGUUACAAUUUAAAGAAGCCACGUUACCAUU